rnacentral:rRNA from 1 species
UUCACGCAAGAAACUAACAUACUGUCCGCGAAUAUUAAGGAAGCGAUUACGGACAAUAUCUUGUUGAAUUUCGUUGAAGCCACGCAUCACCAGUUGGCGGGCGAAGAACCGAUAUUCGUCAUCACUAUUCUUAAACUCUUUCGGGCCGUCUUGCUGCAUGGAGCGAAUCUCUUCACCGCUUAGAUUUUCAACGGCUUCUUGCACCCACUGCGAUUUCAUUUCGGAUUCAAUUUUCCGAUUGAGCAUUUUGAUCAGCCGUUCCUUGGUGGCGGUCAGGCGAUUGCCCAUGUGAUAAUUUUCGUUGUAGCUAUAAAAGAUUUCAUGAAUCCGCCGGCGGGAGAAGAAUACCUCACCACGGAAGCGAAUGUCACGGAAGCGCAAGCCUGAUUUUUCAAGACUUGUCGCAUAUUUCUUGGCUGUCUCAAAAAAGUCUAAGCUGCCUUUGACACGUGCAAUUUUCUUUUGAACUGGGGUUAGCUGUUGCUCGAACUGAGAGAAAAGGUUUUGGACAUCAAUGUGUGGUAACCGUCGCGUGACAUAUUGGUAAUAAGUGAAUUGCACCAUGUUCUGCUCGCCAAGUUCUGGCAAAACAUUGCUAAUGUAGUCAGAGAAAAGUUGGUUAGGACUGAACAUAAUCACCUGACUACUACUCAGGUUGCCUCGGUACCGAUAAAGCAGAUAAGCGACCCGCUGCAACACGGCACUGGUUUUCCCGGAGCCAGCUGCGCCUUGCACAAACAAUAAGUCCGCUUUGGUGUCACGGAUAAUCUGGUUCUGUUCGCGCUGGAUCGUGGUCACAAUCGUCUUCAUUUGGGUGUCUGACUUUUCGCCUAACACUUCCAGCAACAUCUGAUCGCCGAUGGUUUCGGUAGUAUCGAACAUCGUCUGAAUUUUGCCGUUUUUAAUGACAAAUUGACGCUUCAAAGAAACCGUGACCUGUUGCGGGCCAUCAGGCGUUUGAUAGGUAACCUUGCCCAAACCGCCAUCAUAGUAAAUUGAGCUGAUCGGCGCGCGCCAGUCGUAGAUGAGAAACUUACCAGCUUCAUUGGUGAAGGAACCUAAGCCGAUAUAAAUCGUCUCCGGCUUUUCCCGGCCUUCUUGGAAAUCAAUCCGCGCAAAAUACGGAUUGCCCAUCAACCGCUUAACAGUCGCGAGUUGCUGUGCGCUUUGCUUCCACGCAUUGGUUCGCUCAUCAAGCACGCGUUGCUGUUGCUGAAUUGAGGCCGCAGUUUCAAUCGUUUCAGCGUAGUCGGUGAAGUUCAAGGAAAAAUCAUUGAAGAAGUUGUCACUGAUGUUCUUCUCUUCAGACUUUGUCUUAGCCAUCUCUUUUGAAAGACGGCUUUGGGCACCGGAGAGCUCCUUCAUGAUGCCUGUCAAAUGUGUCUGCUCUUUUGCUUGUUCGUUCUCAGCCACGACGUCAUCCCCUUUAACGGUUACUAAAUAAUCGUUAUAACAUCUUAUCACUUAUGCGUCUUUGUAGCAAAAGAGCUUGAGUAGAAGAGACUGUAGCGCAAUCUGAUUCUAUUUUAGGCGUCAGAACACCGUAAGUCCGAGUUGGCUCCGACUGA